rnacentral:rRNA from 1 species
CCCUUAGAUGUUCUGGGCCGCACGCGCGCUACACUGAAGGGAUCAGCGUGUUUUCCCUUCCCGAGAGGGACGGGUAACCCGCUGAACCCCCUUCGUGGUAGGGAUCGGAGCUCGCAAUUGUUCUCCGUGAACCAGGAAUUCCCAGUAAGCGCAAGUCAUAAGCUUGCGUUGAUUACGUCCCUGCCCUUUGUACACACCGCCCGUCGCUACUACCGAUUGAACGUUUUAGUGAGGUAUUUGGACUGGGCCUUGGGAGGUUUCGGCCUCCCUUGUUGCUCGGAAAGACUCCCAAACUUGAGCGUUUAGAGGAAGUAAAAGUCGUAACA